GUCUCUUUCGUCUAUCUGGUUAGGACCUAAUCCUUUCACGAUUAUAAAGUGAGUUCAAAUCUCACAAGAGAUA
rnacentral:tRNA from 1 species